ACCACAUCUGCAAAACAAAAGGAAGAGACACUUCACAACAUACUGUUACGCAAUCAAUACCGGAAAAUCGGGGAUGGUAGGGAAAUAAAUAAGCAGUGUACGGAAAGGGCAAAUGUAGAAAAUAUGUUCAUGUAGGUCGCGCAUUUUGGAAUACACAGUAGGUAAGAGGUGGGUUUAAGAAUACACAGUAUGUAAACGAGUGACGGAUUUAACAAUACACCGUAUAUAAGUGGCGGAUUUACAAAUACGUUGUAGGUAACGGCAGGUUUAGAAAUAUACUAAAUGAAAGUAGCGGGUUUAAGAAUACGAUGCACGUAAGACGCGGGUUUAGGAUUAAACAGCUGGUAAAUGCACCGUCGGUGUACUUUGACAGUGUGGCAAAUGAUAUAUAAUUUUGGAGGUUAUAAGGAGAGGUGAGAGAUCCUUUAAGGGACUCGGAAAGAUAACUUGGUAAUGAUCUGAGUGUAAGUAUUACCUGGACAUUGAGAAAUAUUUAGAAAUGCGUGUGUAUGUUUGUAACUCCUUCGAUGUAACAGUGUGUUUUACCUUGUAUAUAUUAUAUGAUACCAUUUUGGCAUUUUGGUUUUGACAAAGACAUUAUUAGACCUUCAAAUCCAGACCUGACAGUAAGUACUAAUUUUAUUAACAUUUAUCUUCAUAAUAUGUAUAUAUAACUAAUAUCACUGUUUGAGAGAAGAGUGAAAGUUUAAAUAUUAUGAAGAACAGUAAAUAUCAAUUUAAAGUUAUUUUAUCUCAGUAUAUGCUUAUAUUAUAUCUAUAGUUAUUAUAGUGUAUAUAGUACUGUAAUGAUAUAUUUGUUAUAAAUAGAUUAGAAGCAUCCAGGCAGCAUUUUGAUGUUUGCAUGCAUUGGGCCUUGUCCCAUAGAUAGGUAAUUGAUUUACAGUUCGAUGACACCAGAAAAUAGAUGUAGCGGUCAAUCUUCGUCAGGAAGAAUUUUGAUUUUAUCGAAAUAGUUUCUUGAACGACAAACUAUACAGGGGAAAAUGCGACUUUUCAAUUAUCUUCAACGCUUUUAAGAACCAACGUGUGUCUUCUUUUAACGUUAGGUUGUCCAUCUGCUUUAAACGUUAGAUGAUAGAAUUCAUUGGAUGGUUAUAGAAUCUAAUGUUUAUAGAAUCUAAUACAAAAAAUUUAAAAUACCUGUAAUAACUUCAUUUAGAGAGAGAGAGAGAGAGAGACAGAGACAGAGACAGACAGACAGACAGAGAUACACAGACAGACAGAGAGAGAGAGAGGUGCAGCCUACCUUUUUUGCCUCGAUUUUGCUUGACCCAGUUUCCCUGAUGAAUGGAGUUACCCCCGACAAAGAAUCUUGGGACUGGUGAACUUAGGUAUGCGGGUAAUGAUAGUAUCAGUUUUCACAGGAGUGACUGACAGAGGGGGUACAUAUCUUCCCUCCGCUCUGUUUACUUUAAAGGGCUGUCAUCUUGUCACCAAAAAUUGAAUUCAAUGAAAACUCCUCUAUAUUAUUUGUUUCUGUAAGAACACCAGUAUUUUUUAAAAAAUAUUUUUAAACCUCAAAGCAGGCACAUACAUGUUUUACAAAAUUGUUAAUAGACAUGAAUGUUCUUCAAACAAAUAUGCAUUACUAUUACUCAAAUAUCUGGAAAAAUGAAGUAUUUAAAGUACCUAAAUUACGAACUUAUGUGUCUAUAAAAUCAACCUUUGGUCGAGAAAAUUAUGUAACAUUGGAUAUGCCAAAAUACUUUAGGUCAAUUAUGUCGCAGUUUAGAUGUGAUAUUUUACGUUUAAGAAUAGAGACGGGAAGAUAUUAUGGGGAACCUGCUGUUGAAAGAAUAUGCUUAUUGUGUUCAUUAAAUUGUGUGGAAGACGAAAUUCAUUUUGGGAGUUGAACUAUGUUCAAUCUCCCUGGGUCAUCACGCACUUUUCUGCGCAGUAAUUUGUAUUGAUUUGUAUAGUGGUCGUCAGCGGGGGUUCUGUGUCAGCUGAUUUACUCCUAGGUAAAUCAACAUAAACUUUUAUAAACAUCCGCCAUUAAAUAAUCCAUGUAACUUUUCUGAAUUAAUCUAAUUUUGAUAUUUGACAUGUAAAUAAAUGCAAUGAUAUUGUAUUCAAAUCAAUUUGAAUACAAGAUUUCGAUCAAAUUGAUACUGAUAGACAUAGAAAAAUAAAAUAUAAGGUUGAAAAUUGUCGUUUGUAGCACAGCGUCACCUAUAAACAUUGAUAGGGAAACGAACGACAACUGCACACAAGCCCUAUUGACACCGUGGCGCGAAAUAUCGAAUAUGGUGCGAAACCUCAGAAAAUUUACAAGAAAUAACUCUACAACAUUGUGUAUGUGUAUAUAUUUGGUUGUUUUUUUUUAAUGUGAUAUAAAAAAUGCUUGAUGUUACAUGUAGAUUGAAUUAAAACACGUCAUUCCCAGUCAACAACUUUCGAUUGGGAUCGGAAUACGAAAUAAAAUUUCUUAUAUCCGGUGACAAAGUGAAACUGCUUCAUGCUUCAAGUUAUUGAAUUACGUAGUAAUUGCACGUUACACAUUAGAGAACUGUUCCUUUUAAUAAAGAAAGUCACAAAAUAGAUACAAAAUGAGUGUACCUUAUCCAUUACUGUUACCGAGCUUUCGUCGACUAUAAUCUCGAAAUGGCGUGUUUCGCUGCGCUUGAUGAUCUGACAGUAAGGUCCACAUUUUCUACGUGAGUAGUGUGAUAUUUGUUUAUGAAUUUUUUGCGCAUACAUGGUAUGUCUCGGCUAGGAAUAAUGGAAACUUUCUCACCUAUGUAUGUAAAGACAUAUUAAUCUCUAUUUUUAAAAAUGUAGAACACUUUUUAUCAAAUGACAAUGUUUGAAAACGCUUAGAGCCCCGAUGUCAGAAUUUCCUUUUCCAAGACAUCAAUAUGUCAAAUUCAUUAUCCUUUUUGAAUAGUAUGUACCAUAUUUUGUACCAGUUAUCCAUUUUGAAUCCCCUAUUACAAUGGGAUUUUGCUGCACUCUGUAAUGUUUGAGUGGAUGUCAUGAGUGUGUGUCAAACAGAAAUUUUAAGAGCAUGGGAUAAGGUGCUGCCAUGUAUUACUUCACUAUCAAAGUUUAACCCAGUUGCCACAAUGUUGAAUUUAUGCUGCAAAAAGGAUUGGAAAUUGCUCUGGUCAAAACACAUUGUUUGUUUGAUUACAGAUGAAAGAGACAUGAGGAUUCUCCCUCACAAACUGAAAAAAAAAAGUUAUGGAUCUUGUACAUGUAUAGUUUAUUAAUCACUAUAGAUUUCCAGCAUCACAAGUCUGAUUCCACUAUAUGCUUUCCAUACUGUCAGGUUCAUUCACCCCCUGUUUGAUCCACAGUAUAAUAUCCCAAAUACCUUGGCAAUAAAUAACAUUAUUUGACUAGUGUUUCAUUUUUAGCGGAGUUGCGAUGAAGUCGAACUCGGCUUAUGAUCUGAUGAAGUGCCUUUGGGCGGGCAGGCGGGCACGCAUCAACAUUUCAUUUCCGCACCAUAGCUCUUGAGCAAAUUAUAGGAUCUCAUUCAAACUUAGAUGGAUUGUCACCCUCAGUAAGAUGAGGAAGUCUAUCGAUUCUGGGGUCACUAGGUCAAAGGUCAAGGUCACUGGCUAUAAAUAGACUGAAAUUUGGAAAAAAAAUUGUUUUCCGCACCAUAGCUCUUGAACGAAUUAUAGGAUCUCAGUCAAACUUAGAUCGAUUAAGUAAGACAAGAAGCCUAUCGAUUCCGGGGUCACAAGGUCAAAGUCACAGUGGCUAUAAAUAGACUGAAAUUUGGAGAAAAUUUUGUUUUCUGCACUAUAAUUUUUUAACAAAUUAUAGGAUCUCAAUUAAACUUAAAUGGAUUAUCACCCUUGAUGAGACAAAGAAGCCUAUUGAUUUUGGUCAAGGGUUAAAGGUCAAGGUCACAAAGGAUUUAAGUCGGCUGAAAUUUAUGUACGCAAAAUUUUGCUCCUUGCUUGAUAAUUCUUGAAAACUUUUCUGCCGGUUCCCUCUAUGCCCAUUCCUUGCGCAACUCGGCUUGUGCAUUUCCGAUGCCCGACAAUUUUUAAUUUUUUUGCAUUUCAUUUAUUUUGAGUUAUUAUACAAUUAUUUACCAUUCCAUUGAUCCUCUACAGGACUGUAGUAUACUCAGGUGACAGUUUAGCAUAUUGGACUACCUUUUCAAGUAAUGAAUCCUUAGAAUUAACUAUAACUAGGAUUAAACUUGAAUGUAUAUAUACAGGGGAAAAACUUCUUCAUAACUGCAAGGCAUUGAUAACCAUAUUGAUUUGAAUGUUUGGGCCAUAAUAUGUGGUCACAUUUUUCAUGAGAAUAUAAAGGGGUGAAAUUCUAGAAAACAACACGACUUCAGUUACUCGAGGAGCGUUGUGGCCCAUGGGCCUUCCAUUAUCCAUGUUUGCUGUUGUAAUGCUUUGAAACAACAACAGUUGAUUUGUAUCUAAAAUCAUGAUAAUAUUCAGUCAUUUAUCCCCAUACCCUUCCAGUACUAUCUUUUCUAACUGAAUUUCCACAAUGUUCAACUCCCACGAGUACUUUAAGUACUUUGAUUUACUCUAUUGUCCAUUGUAUUCUAAACUCAUAACAACUUUGUUUGAAAACACGGGAUUUGAUCAAAUGUCAAUGUCAGAUGUAGAGGUUCUUCGAAUGUUAAUAACAAACUACCCAAGACAAUUAGCAAAAUACUUGUACUCCUCCUUUUCUUUUAGACAAUCUAUUAUAUUUGGAAAAAUCAACAACUGAGCUAUUUAUACAUUAUAUACUUAGUAUACAUGUAUACACAUGUAUGUAUAUAUAAUUAUAGAAAAUGUUAUUAUGCGCAAUUAUUUGCAUUAUAUAUUAUUAUAUCAACGUUUAAAGUGGCAUAUAGGCCCGACGGGCCGGGUGUUUAUUGAUUUGUAUAUUGUGAUAAAAUUGGAUGUAUGAAUAUAUGUACACAUGCCACUAUAAUAAAUAAAAUUACUUACUUACUUA